rnacentral:rRNA from 1 species
UGGGGAAUUUUGGACAAUGGGCGAAAGCCUGAUCCAGCAAUGCCGCGUGUGUGAAGAAGGCCUUCGGGUUGUAAAGCACUUUUGUCCGGAAAGAAAUCCUUGGCUCUAAUACAGUCGGGGGAUGACGGUACCGGAAGAAUAAGCACCGGCUAACUACGUGCCAGCAGCCGCGGUAAUACGUAGGGUGCAAGCGUUAAUCGGAAUUACUGGGCGUAAAGCGUGCGCAGGCGGUUUGCUAAGACCGAUGUGAAAUCCCCGGGCUCAACCUGGGAACUGCAUUGGUGACUGGCAGGCUAGAGUAUGGCAGAGGGGGGUAGAAUUCCACGUGUAGCAGUGAAAUGCGUAGAGAUGUGGAGGAAUACCGAUGGCGAAGGCAGCCCCCUGGGCCAAUACUGACGCUCAUGCACGAAAGCGUGGGGAGCAAACAGGAUUAGAUACCCUGGUAGUCCACGCCCUAAACGAUGUCAACUAGUUGUGGGGAUUCAUUCUUAGUAACGUAGCUAACGCGUGAAGUUGACCGCCUGGGGAGUACGGUCGCAAGAUUAAAACUCAAAUGAAUUGAC